rnacentral:rRNA from 1 species
UACGUAGGGGGCGAGCGUUAUCCGGAUUUACUGGGCGUAAAGCGCGUUAAGGCGGCCCGUUAAGUUAAUGGUGAAAUUUCAGGGCUCAACCCUGAAACUGCCGUUAAUACUGGCAGGCUUGAGUGUGAGAGAGGAAGAUGGAAUUCCCGGUGUAGUAGUGAAAUGCGUAGAUAUCGGGAGGAACACCAGUGGCGAAGGCGGUCUUCUGGCUCACAACUGACGCUGUAGCGCGAAAGCGUGGGGAGCGAACGGG